GAAUUGGUUCUUAUUGUUUAUUUCAGAAAUGGUAGUUUGAUUGUCGAUGCUGAACUAACAUUCAAGAGUCUGCUACAACAGAAUCAAUCAGAUCCCCAAUCUCUGAACGUAUUGGAAAAUGUCAUAAAAAGUAUUGAAAAUAUUCCAGGUGUUAUGAAAAACAAAACGACAGCAGAUUGGCAAGUGACAUCUAUAACCACUGAGAUAUUGUCAACAUCUACUGGCUCUACCUUGACAGAGCGACCAUCCGUUUCGGAGUCGACCACUAGCACUGUGUCUAUGUCCACCAUUGUUAGUGGAGAAACACUAUCAACCAUUGAACAACCAUCUACUUCCAGUGAAUUCUUUGGCAGCGGUGAACAACCAACAACCACCUAUGAACAACCCCUAGUGCCCUCUGAACGGUCAUCUGCUACUACUGAAGUCUUCGCUACCAUUAGUGAACAAACAACAAGCACUGACUAACCAUCCUCUGCCACUGAAUUACCAUUCCCGAUCAAGCAUCAACUUCAUUAGCUGCAGUGACAUCUAAGAUAUAAUCGACAUUUACUGAGUUAUUAUUCACCUCGACGGAACAACCAUCCAAGAUCACAGGGAUAUCUACUUCAACGGAAUAAUCUACAGCGGAAGGACACACAACAGAAUAGCACUGAGUUAGAAGCAAACACAAAGAAACGAACCACCAAACAAACACUGCCAUCAGCUACCAGCGAAGAAAUAACCACCAUCAGGGGCGGGGGUCAUCCACAAACAUUCAUUCAACUUCCACAACCAUAGAAUCAUUCUCUAUCACCACUGACCAACCAUCAUCCUCCACUGACCAACCGUCAGCAACAAUUGAACAAUAAUCCCUUAUCACUGAGUCAUUCCAUGUCACUAGCGAACACUCAUCAACAACCAUUAUCUAAUCAUCCAUUGCCAUUAUAUCACACACUACCAUCUGUGAAUUUUUAUUGAGAACCAUUGAUCAACGAUCGCCUGAUUUACCUCUCUCAUCUAUUAAAUUCCCUGAACCAUUCACUGUCAUCAUUGAUCAACCAUUUACAAUCAUUGUGCUGUAAUUUGAUUCACUGAACUGCUACAAAGAAUACCAAAUAGAGAAACUGUAUAACGGCACACAAGCACUGGAACGGAAACUGCAAACGUUCAUGACUACUGAAAGAGAAUUUGUUCAACCAUUGUUAAUCAAUCACAGGAAACGAAGCUCUAUGACCAUUGUUAAACAUCGGAUUUAAAAUAAAAACAUCUUACAACCACUGUUGAAAUUUGAAAAGAGCGUUUCAACGUUCGGAGGGUCGCAGAGCACAACAACAUUUGAGCAUUACUCUCUGUGAUUAUUUCUUUCUUUAUUCGUAAAACUACGUUAUUCCAUCGUUCGUCAAAGACAGAGAGAAAAGAUGUAAUGGUCGUAUGAAACUGCCUCAACGGUUGCAUCGCAUUGGUUCAACAAUUAUGUAGGACAUUAUCAAUGGCGGCCGUAAGAAACUGUAUGAAAUGUUCUACUAAACUAUCAUAUAGAAAAACAAACCAAUAAAAAUACUCAACAACACCACCACCAACAACAAAGAACAAAUAAAUAUUUAGAAAAAACAAUAAACUCGGUUCAUCAAUAAAGAAAUAAUGGCAUUCGUCAGAAAGGCAUCGAAUUGUUUCGAUUACCUCCCAACCAAAUAUAGAUUUGUCUUGUCAUUUGUUCAGUUGUAAAACUGUAAUGUUGCUAUGGUGAUCGACGGUGAUUGUGAUGGGAAACGAAAUCAAAAGCUCUAAAGACAGCAAUUAAGCUUUCAACGCAGUGUUAUCGUUAUGAGCGUAAGAACCAUCUAAAUAUUCCAUUGUAUUACUUAAGCUGAAUAAACUGACAAUUUCUCAAAUAAGAAGAACAAAGUUGUUUCAAGUAAUUUAUAUAUAAACACUCACAGACGGACAAAUAAAGCACACAGAUAUAUAUACACAGAAUAAUAUAUGCGUGUGUGUUACGUUUGAGUGUAUAUUUAUGUGUCUGUGUGAGUGCACUCGCACAUGCACGCACAUAUACACACACAUCCAUACUUGUCUAUUUAAAACAACAAAAGGACGAGUGCAAAAUUUGAAUGGAAGUACAUCGAUAUUUCUUUAUACUUUUGAAUAAUCCCCCAAAAGAAGUGAAAUAUUCCUUUCACGUCUCGUAUUCAAGCAUUUAAUUGACCGAAUUUCUUUUCCAUUGGAUUAUCCUGCAAAAGGUGCUGUUCUUUCCUUAACUUCAGUUGGUCGAAGAAGAUCAGGUGUGAUUCUCUGAUGUCAUUUUCAGCAACACUGAUACUAUGAUAUAUAUGAGAAGACAAAUCAGAAAACUUGCUUAAACUCCAUCAAAGGGUUAAAUAUUUUCAAAGAGCAAACCAUUGUAUAAGCAAAACACACACACAUAAAUAUAUAUCGGUGCCAUCUCUUUGUUUUCUAUUACCACUCUCUACUCAUAAAACAUUGUGUUCUGGACUAUACGUAUAUUGAGUUCUACACCAGAUUAUUACCCUCGCUAUGCCUAAGCGAAAUACUGAAAUACAAAAACUCUCUUCCGGAAGUGUUCUACCAAACUAAUAAUCUUUCGACACUGAAAAAAACAUAUUUGGGAACCUCACUCAAUAACAUGAGCGAAUGAAGUUCAUUACAUAACAUUUGGUUUUACUGGUGUCAUCUCUUUGUUUUCUAAUGACUCUCUAUACUCAUAUAUAUAUAUAUAUAUAUAUACAUAUGCACAUAUUUUCCUUAUGAAGUUACAUUUCAGUGAUCCUAUACAAUGAAUUUAAUUGGAACAAUACGAUCAUUUAGUGGUCAAAAAUUAUCAGAAGACUUUUUUUCAAACUUUAUACUAUCGGUAAAUAAUUCAUAACGAAGAACAAUAUAUAUAAUAUUUUUACAUAUAUUUACGUAAUUUUAUCUACGUUUUGUAAAUAACUUGUAUAUGCAAGUGCUACAAGUCGAAAGCUCCGCAUACCGGGAGCCAGCAAGUGUAUGGGGGUCAUCAGAAGAGAAUGCGCACCGUUUCGGGGCCUGCCUCCUGACGGCAUUAUGGCGCAACGGCCCCUCCUCACGGACAGAGACUACAGUUAUUUUUAUAUCUAUAACCUACAGUUAUUCUGACAUCUAUCUAUCUAUCUAUUUAUCUAUCUAUCUAUUUAUUUAUCUAUCUACUUGUUGAAACCACACCACAUAAUAUAUAUGCAUGUAUAUAUAUAUAUAUAUAUAUAUAUUGUGAUCCUACACAAUGAAUCCAAUUGAAACAAUACGAUCAUUUAAUGGUUGAAAAUGAUCAGAAGACUUUUUUUCAAACUUUAUACUAUCGGUAAAUAAUUCAUAACGAAGAACAAUAUAUAUAAUAUUUUUAUAUAUAUUUACGUACUUUUAUCUAUUAUAUAACUUGAUGACAGAGACUACAGUCAUUUUUAUAUCUAUCUACUUGUUGAAA